rnacentral:lncRNA from 10 species
CUUAAGAUCCUUUCCUUUAUCAGAUAACCUGAUGACAGCGUGCCUAGGCGAUGAUCUCUUUGUGAUGAAUUUCCCAGGUGUUCUUUGAGCUUCUUGUAUUUGGAUGUCUAGGUCUCUAGCAAGACCAGGGAAGUUUUCUUCAAUUAUUCCCACAAAUAUGUUUUCCAAACUUUCAGAUUUCUCUUAUUCCUCAGGAAUGCCGACUAUUCUUAAGUUUGAUUGUUUAACAUAGUCCUAGACUUCUUGGUGGUUGGUUCAUAUUUUCUUCUUCUUUUUUCUUUGUCUUUGUUGGAUUUGGUUAAUUUGAAAACCUUGCCUCCAAGCUCUGAAGUUCUUUCUUCUGCUCAUUUGAUUCUAUUGCUGGGACUUUCCAGAGUAUUUUGCAUUUCUGUGAGUGCAUUCAUUGUCUCCUGAAGUUUUGAUUGUUUUUUUGUUUAUGCUAUCUAUUUUACUGAAAAUUUCUCCCCGCAUUUCUUGUAUCAUUUUUUGGAUUUCCUUAAAUUGGGCUUUGCCUUUCUCUGGUGCCUCCCUUAUAAGCUUAAUAACGAGCCUUCUGAAUUCUCUUUCAGCCAGCCAGCAAGUCUACCAGGCUCCAGACUGGUACUGGGGGUUGUCUGCACAGAGUCCUGUGAUGUGAACUGUCUGUGGGUCUCUCAGCUGUGGAUACCAGCACCUGCUCCCGUGGAGGUGGCACAGGAAUGAAAUGAACUCUAAGCCCUGGGCUCAGCCAGAGUUCAGCAGAGAAUGGGUGACCAGCAGCAGAGAGGAGCUUCCCACUCCAGGGAUGACCUGCCUGCAGAGAGGAGCCACCCACCACAUGGCUUCCUGCUCUCUGCUGAGGGCUGAACACUCAUCGUGACACUGUGGCUGCAGGAAGGAGAUACCUACAGUGGGUCUCUGAGCUGGUCUACUGCUCAAUAAAGCUCUUCUUGGUUUUGCUCAUCCUCCACUUGUCUGCGUGCCUCAUUGUUCCUGGUCACAGGACAAGAACUUGGACCGCCGAAUGGCAAGUCUAGAAGACCUGUAAUACAAACUGGUCUGAAACAUGACCCUUGCUCACCACAUGGUGGGUGAAGAGAGGGAGAGAAGAGGUUUAGCCCUUCAAGCCAGGGCUGUGGCUCUCUCUUUAAGGCCCUGUGGUUCCUGGCAACUCUGAGCUUAGGGACACCACUGCAUUUCCUGCUGCCAGCUGAGGAAGCUGCUUGCAGUGCACCUGGUCCAGCCACAGCCUUGCAGAGCUGCCCACCCGACUGUAGCAGCUAGCAUGCCUGACCAUGUGCAGUGACUGGAUCCCAUGCUUACUCGCUCACACACCCCUUACCCCUCCACGCCUGGCUCAUCCUUGGCAGGCGUGGGAUCCAGGCCCACUGCAUGAGCCAAGUGCAGCCUGGCAGGCUGAAUGGAUGGAAUGAGCUGGGCAGGCCCAAGCAAAAGUCAAGCAAAGGUGCCACUGGCCACAGAGGUUUCUGACCAGAAAAGCAACACUUCAAAGAUCCUGUAACAUUUGGAGUGUUUCCACUUUGGGGCAAUAAUAAAUAAAACUUCCAGUAAUCUCCAUUUUAUUUUUUUUGUCUUUGGUGAAUGUGUAGACUCCAUGCUCAUGGAAAUGCAUCUCCAAGUAGAAAUGGUGGGUCGUAAGAGUGGCAUAAUAUCAGCUUUAAUAGAUAUUACCAAUAAUUUUCUAAUAUGUUUUUAUCAAUAUAUCCUCUUGCCAGCAAUGUUUGAGAGUUCCAAUUGCUCUACACACUAACCAACACUUAGUAUUGUUAGUUUAUUUAAGAAAAAAGUUUUAGUCAUUCUGAUAAAUACAUGUUGGUAUCUCAUUAUGAUUUAAAUUUGCAUUUCCCUAGUGAAUAGUACUUUUUCAUAUACCUACUUGUUACUAAAAUAUCUUAUUUUCUGAAAUACUUACUUAGGACCUUCACCUAUUUUUGAAAAUUUGAUAUUUUAAUACUUAAUGUUUUGAAGAAGCUCUUUAUAUGGAAUUAGAAUAAGUACUUUUCAGAUAUUCAUAUUACAAUGUCUUUUCCAGUCUGUGACUUGCCUUUUCAUUCUUUU